GACGAACGCUGGCGGCGUGCUUAACACAUGCAAGUCGAACGGAAAGGCCUUUUCGGAGGUACUCGAGUGGCGAACGGGUGAGUAACACGUGGGUGAUCUGCCCUGCACUCUGGGAUAAGCCUGGGAAACUGGGUCUAAUACCGGAUAGGACCGCACUUUAGUGUGUGUGGUGGAAAGUUUUUUCAGUGUAGGAUGAGCCCGCGGCCUAUCAGCUUGUUGGUGGGGUAAUGGCCUACCAAGGCGGCGACGGGUAGCCGGACUGAGAGGUUGGUCGGCCACAUUGGGACUGAGAUACGGCCCAGACUCCUACGGGAGGCAGCAGUGGGGAAUAUUGCACAAUGGGCGCAAGCCGGAUGCAGCGACGCCGCGUGGGGGAUGACGGCCUUCGGGUUGUAAACUCCUUUCGCCAGGGACGAAGCGUUUUGUGACGGUACCUGGAGAAGAAGCACCGGCUAACUACGUG
rnacentral:rRNA from 1 species